AUAUAUCUGAUCUUAUAUAUAUCUUAUAUAUAUAUUCUGAUCUUAUAUAUAUAACACUAACUUCUUAUUAGGCUACUGAAAUCACACCACAAACAAUUAUUUUUCUAUGGGGACGUUCUCCUGCAGAUUUUUCACCGAAUCACAGAAAUACUGCCAUGCAUAUUUCAUUCUCAUCGUGAUUAAAAAUCAUCUCUCACUCUGUCAUUCCUAGCUCGGCAGUUGAGCACCAGUGGAGCCAUGAGAAACCAGCCUUCUCAGUAGAGGAUUAUGUAGAAGACUGUAGUAUAGCUCCACAUGGACAGUGAUAUUAGCACCUUGCCAUAUUGUCCUGGUUUUGGCUGGGAUAGAGUUAAUUUUCUUCAGAGCAUCUGACACAGUGAUGUGUUUGGGAUUCAGGAUGAAAAUGACAUUGAUAAAACACCAACAUUUUUAGUUACCAAGCAGUGCUGCACCAAAUCAAGGACGGUUCUGCUUCUGACACUGUUCUGCUAUUGAGGAGGCCAGGGGGCACAGGGAACUGGGACAGAACCAAACCAGGAGCUGACCUAAGCUGGCUAAAGCGAUAUUCCAUACCAAGGGUGUCAUGCUCAGCAAUAAAAGCUGGAGGAUCUGGCCACUCACUCUGUAUGCAGUGGAGUGCUGGUCAGCUGCUGCUGAGCAAUUGCCUUCUUCACCUUUCUUUUUUCUUUUUAAUUUUGUCUUAUUUCUUUCACAUUAAACUGUCCUUUUCUCAUCCCAGAAAUUCUCACACGUUUAUCUUUGUCAAUUCUCUUUUCCACCCUGCCGAGGGGGACUGAGCGGGCAGCCACAUGGUACUUAGCUGCCUGCUGGGUUAAACAACAGCACGCACCUCAGGAAUAUCUCAUCUGGUUUACAGGGCAAACCAAUUCAUGAGUUAUUAACCUGCAAAUAACUACAAAGAAGAAGAAAUGUUGCUGGAGUCCUGCACAGGUAACCAUUGCCCUCAAAGUCCACUCAGUAGCAACACUAGCUGAGUUCCGGACAGAACAGAUCCAGCGAAGUUUCUAUAGCUGUAACUGUCCAGACAGUUCCCUUUCACUCUGCUGCUGUAAGAGUUCAACUGUGAGAAGAGGAAUGCUUCAGGGGGCUCUGACCUCACUCUGGUUCCCAUCAGCAGAGGAUGUCUCACAUGACAGCACUUCCUCCUUACCAGCUGCACAGGAGCAUGGUGCAACUAGCACUGGCACAGCCAGAAAUGCUGUGGGCAUCCAAGUUAGAC
ensembl:lncRNA